AGGUGAAGGUGUGUGGAGCCGAGCCUGAGACCGGAUCUCCUGGAGGCUCCGGGCUGCAGCCUGGACGCAGCCGGCUCAGCGCCAGCCAGCAGCACUUCCACCGCCCGGAUAACGGAGCCAACAUCUACAGGAAGCCUCCCAUCUACAGACAAGAUGUCCGACCCGUGGACGGCAGCGGCGUCAUCCAGU